GCUGACUGGAGAGGUUGCCAUAAGGUGUGAGGAUGUUUCCAUCUAUUUUUCCUUGGAGGAGUGGGAGUAUAUAAAAGGAAACCAGGCCCUUUACAUGGAAGCGAGAAAGGAGGAGGAGCCCCAGCAGCUCCACCCACUGGAUUGUGAAUAUGAAGCUAUUACAGCUAAUCACGAAGCUGCAGUGUCUUGCAAUAAUGGCCUGAGGGAGAUUGUGGCCGAAGGAGCAGAUUUUUGUUCUGAUGAAAAUCUCACAAACCCUGAAAUCCCUCCUGCAGAACAGCCCCCACCAGCCAAUGGGAUUAAAGAGGAAGCGGCUUCAUGG